AGCUGCAGGCUUUGUGCUGUGUUGUUCAGUCCUGGCGCCUCACACCUGCUGUGCCCGCCGAAACUUUUCAAAUCUCUAAGGCAGAGACUGUAGAGCCGCCAGGUCUUUUCAGGAAAUAAAACGUGACCCAGGAUUUCGGCUACACACUGUUGGAGCGGUGGCAGCCGCCAGGCAACUCCUCUUACCUUUCUCAGCAUUUCUCCGUCAGCAGGGCGUCCACGGAACCAUCGCGCGCAGAGCGGGGAGUUGGGAAAGUCACCAGCGGAAGAUGGGCACGAACUUCUCCAGGGGUAAGUGUAGCUCUUAUUCCUCAUCAAGAGAAGCUUCUCUUGCCAAAUGAUGGAGACCAUUAAAGAAGAUUACAAAACACAGAGAAUAAGUGACCGUGGGGUAUCCAGUCCCAACGGAUACAUCUACAGCACAACUCCUGCACUUAAGGCUCAUGGAACAUGGUGGAUGAGGACUAGAAAAAUCCAAGAACCAGAGUAACAAAAUCUGAUGUGAGAAUGUCUCCUAGAAAUAACAAGGAAGCUUCCCCCAUGGUGCUUCAACAAUAUGUCUGCCAAAACAAGACUGAAGAAACAAACAACAGACAUGCUAACAUAGAAGGUGGGAGCUUCAGGGGUCCCAUACACAGACAAAGUUACCUGUAGAGGUAACUAGGGACUGUUGAAAGUGGGAGAAAUAGUCUUCCUCAAGGGUGAGCCUGCUAAUUGGUUAUCCAAUACCAAGUGGUCAGUCUGAAAUCGUAUAUAGG
rnacentral:lncRNA from 1 species